rnacentral:rRNA from 1 species
CAGUCGCCGCGGGAAUACGUAGGUGGCGAGCGUUGUCCGGAAUUAUUGGGCGUAAAGGGAGCGCAGGCGGACAUAUAAGUCCAUCUUAAAAGUGCGGGGCUCAACCCCGUGAGGGGAUGGAAACUGUAUGCCUUGAGUGCAGGAGAGGAAAGCGGAAUUCCCAGUGUAGCGGUGAAAUGCGUAGAUAUUGGGAGGAACACCAGUGGCGAAGGCGGCUUUCUGGACUGUAACUGACGCUGAGGCUCGAAAGCCAGGGGAGCGAACGGGAUUAGAUACCCGAGUAGUCCCUGUCUCUUAUACC